GGGUGGUGCACAAGAGUGUGUUGCACGUAGUGACAUCCCUUGCACAAGGGGAGGUGCACGAAUGGCCCCGUUGCACAAGCAGUAGUGUGCAAAGGGAGCUCCCCUUGCACGAGGUGGCCUCUUGCACAAGAAGGGGUGCACAUAGGGCUCUCUUCUUGCACAAGGAGUGGUGCACGAGUGGCCACCUUGCACAAGCAGUAGUGUGCAAAGACAGCUCCCCUUGCACGAGACUGUCUCUUGCACAAGGGGUGGUGCACAAGGGUGUUGCACUAGGGGACGCCUCUUGCACGAGGGAUGGUGCAGUAGUGUGCAAAGAGAGCUCCCCUUGCACGAGACUGUCUCUUGCACAAGAAAGGGUGCACAUAGGGCACUCUUCUUGCACAAGGGGUUGCGCGUGAGAGUCUUACACAAGUGAAGGUGCAGAAAAAAGCCCUCCUCUUGCACAAGGGGUGGUGCACAAGUGUGUUGCACGUACUGACAUCUCUUGCACAAGGGGUGGUGCAUCAGAGCGUUGCACUAGGGGACGCCUCUUCCACAAGUGGAGGUGCCCAAAGUGCCCUCCUCUUGCACAAGGAGCGGCAUGCAAGUCUGUUGCACAAGGGCUCGUGCACAACUAGACCUCUUGCACAAACCGUGGUACACAAGGGGUCAUCCUCUUGCACAAGGGGUGGUGCACGAGUGCCGGCUCUUGCACGAGGGGUAGUGCACAACUCUGUUGCACAAGGGGGCACCUGUUGCACAAGGCCCUGUGUUGCACAAUAAAGGUGAACACAGCCCACUGUUGCACCACAGCGAUGCACAAAACCCCAUGUGGCACCUGAGUGUUGCACGAGGCCUUGUGUCACACCAUACAGGUGCACAAGAGCCAGCAGUGCACCACAGCGUUGCACACGGACCCACCCUCGUGUUGCACGAGGUCGUGUGUUGCACAGUGCUCUUGCACGAGGCCCCAUGUUGCACAAUGAGGCUGCACGAGGCCCAGCCUUGCACCACUGCCUUGCACAAGACCCUAUGUGGCACUGUAGUGUUGCACAAGGCCCAGUGUUGCACCAUACAGAUGUACAAGGCCCAGUGUUGCACCACAGCGUUGCACGAGGACCUGUGUUGCACCAUGAGGCUGCACGAGACCCAGCCUUGCACCACAGCAUUGCACGAGGCCCUAUCUUUCACUUCAGUGUUGCACAAGGCCCCGUGUGGCACUUUAGUGUUGCACAAGGCCCCAUGUUGCACACAACCCUAUGUUUCACCCUUGUGUUGCACAGUGAGGGUGCACAAGACCCACAGUUGCACUACUGCAUUGCACAAGGCCCUAUGCGGCACUUUAGUGUUGCACGAGGACCUGUGUUGCACAAUGAGGCCGCACGAGGCCCAGCAUUGCACUAUUGCCUUGCACAAGACCCUAUGUGGCACUGUAGUGUUGCACAAGGCCCAGUGUUGCACCAUACAGAUGUACAAGGCCCAGUGUUGCACCACAGCACUGCACACCCCAUGUGGAACCCUUGUGUUGCACAAGGCCCCGCGUGACACUUUAGUGUUGCACAAGGCCCCAUGUUGCACCACAGCGUUGCACGAGGACCUGUGUUGCACCAUGAGGCUGCACGAGGCCCAGUGUUGCACCACAGCGUUGCACACCACCCUGCAUCGCACCCUCGUGUUGCACAAGGCCCUAUCUUUCACUUCAGUGUUGCACAAGGCCCAGUGUGGCACUUUAGUGUUGCACAAGGCCCCGUGUUGCACCACAGCAUUGCACACCACCCUGCAUCGCACCCUCGUGUUGCACAAGGCCCUAUCUUUCACUUCAGUGUUGCACAAGGCCCCGUGUGGCACUUUAGUGUUGCACAAGGCCCCGUGUUGCACCACAGCAUUGCACACCACCCCACAUCUCACCCUUGUGUUGCACAAGGCCCAGUGUGGCACCUUAGUGUUGCACAAGGCCCCGUGUUGCACCACAGCGUUGCACACAACCCCACGCUUCACCCUUUUCACCCUCGUGUUGCACAAGGCCCGUGUGGCACGCAGUCCAGAUGCACCAGGACCCCUUGCACGAGGCCCCGUGUUGCACCACAGCGUUACACACAACCCCACGUUUCACCCUCGG
ensembl:lncRNA